rnacentral:sRNA from 1 species
CCCUGAGGAGCUGGAAGAGCUGAAGACCUCCCUAGCACAGCACUUCACAGCAGGGCCAGGCAGGGCCAGUGGAGUGACCUGCCUCUACUUCGUGGAGGAGGGACAGCGGUAAGGAGCCCGAGUGGGGCGGGGCAGGUCCCUGCAGGGACUGUGACACUGAAGGACCUGCACCUUCACCCACAGAAAGACUCCUAGCCAGGAGGGCCUGCCCCUGGAACAUGUGGCUGGGGACCGGUGCAUCCACGAGGACCUGCUAGGGCUGACCUUCCGGAUCUCUCCACACGCCUUCUUCCAGGUGAACACACCCGCAGCCGAGGUGCUCUACACAGUCAUCCAGGACUGGGCCCAACUGGAUGCGGGGAGCACGGUGCUGGACGUGUGCUGUGGCACCGGCACCAUUGGCCUGGCCCUGGCCCGGGUGAGCCCUCCUGCCCUGCUGAGGGCACCCUCUCCC